CAGCAAUGACUGGCUUUGUGGGCCAAACCAUUGGCAGCAACCACAACAAAAGAGACGGACAGAGGAGAGGAGAAUGGUCACACCCUGAGGUCCUCGGUGUCCCACGGUCGAGGCUGAGGACCAAAAGAGACCUGGCGUUUCUGUCAGAGCCCUGACCCUCUGGAACAACCUCCCCGAGGACAGCUGAAGAGAGACAGGGAACGUGGGGAAUGGAGAGAGGGGG